rnacentral:rRNA from 1 species
AGUGAACGCUGGCGGUAGGCCUAACACAUGCAAGUCGAACGGCAGCACAGUAAGAGCUUGCUCUUACGGGUGGCGAGUGGCGGACGGGUGAGGAAUACAUCGGAAUCUACUUUUUCGUGGGGGAUAACGUAGGGAAACUUACGCUAAUACCGCAUACGACCUACGGGUGAAAGCAGGGGAUCUUCGGACCUUGCGCGAUUGAAUGAGCCGAUGUCGGAUUAGCUAGUUGGCGGGGUAAAGGCCCACCAAGGCGACGAUCCGUAGCUGGUCUGAGAGGAUGAACGGCAACACUGGAAAGGAGACGAGGGCGAGACGGCGACGGGAGGCAGCAGUGGGGAAGAUGGGAGAAGGGGCGAAAGUCUGAUCGAGCCAGGCGGCGUGGGGGAAGAAGGCCUUCGGAUUGUAAAGCACUUUAAGGGAGGAGAAAGAGCAGUAAGUGAAUACCUUGCUGUUGUGACGUGACCAACAGAAUGAGCACCCGCUAACUUCGUG